rnacentral:rRNA from 1 species
UUAAAUUGAAGAGUUUGAUCAUGGCUCAGAUUGAACGCUGGCGGCAGGCCUAACACAUGCAAGUCGAACGGUAGCACAGAGGAGCUUGC